rnacentral:tRNA from 1 species
AUUUCAAUAGCUUAAUUAGAGCUUGAUAUUGAAGUUAUCAUGGUGAUCAUCUGAUCUUGAAAUA